UACAGUGUGUUGUAUAUUUCGAUUUUCGAGGUUUAUGUCAAAUUUUAUCAGGACAGGUUUUGGAUUGCAUCAAAUUUUAUUUAAAAAAGUAUAAAUUUCAAAGUCGCGAGCAAUUAAUCAAAUUUAUUUCGUGUGGGAAAUUGUCUGUCUGUGUCUGACAUGUUGAACUACAAAUACAAACAAUAUCAGAAAAUGAUGUUAUUUAUUUACGUAAUUAAAAUAUCAUGAUUAUGAAUUAACAUUCAUUCCUAUUACUACAAUAUUACUUCGA